rnacentral:lncRNA from 10 species
AAAAAACAAACAAACAAACAAACAAACAAACCACUGCCUAAAGAGGCCCCCAUUAGGAUGCAAUCCAUAGCAAAUACCCUCUUUAAGAAUCAUAUCUACACGAGACAUUUUCUUUUCAUUUUUCACUUGUACAAAUAUAUUUAUUUACUUUUGGGGAAUAAUAUGACAUAUUGUAUUAGAAAUCAGAAAACCAGUAUUUCGAGUCUGUCACCCAGUAGCCCACCCAAGCUCCAUAAAAUAGUAAAAUGAGACCUAUUCCUCACAUCUGGUACAAUUAUGAUGAGUAAAUAUUUUAUUCAUAUACAGCAGACCCCUGAAUAACAUCCUUCUGUUAUAACGUUGAUGAGGAAAAAAAAUUGUUUCCCUGCUGGGAUCACCGUCUGUGUGGCAUUUGCAUGUCCUCCCCAUGUCUUCCUGGGUUUUCUCCAGGUACCCCGGUCAGUUUCCUCCCACAUCCCGAAGAUAUGCAUGUUAGGCAAACUGCUGUGUCUAUGUAGUCCCAGUGUGAACGAUUGUGGGUGUGGGUGAGUCUGCUCUGCGAUGUGAUGGCGUCCUGUCCAGGGCUGGUUACUGCCUCGAGCCCUGAGCUGCCGGGACAGGCUCUGGCCACUGAACUCUAAACUGGAAUAAGCAGAUUCACCCUCUGCACAGUUCUCC